GGGAGCUUGCUCCCUGAAGUCAGCGGCGGACGGGUGAGUAACACGUGGGCAACCUGCCUGUAAGACUGGGAUAACUCCGGGAAACCGGGGCUAAUACCGGAUAACUCUUUUCCUCACAUGAGGAAAAGCUGAAAGAUGGUUUCGGCUAUCACUUACAGAUGGGCCCGCGGCGCAUUAGCUAGUUGGUGAGGUAACGGCUCACCAAGGCCACGAUGCGUAGCCGACCUGAGAGGGUGAUCGGCCACACUGGGACUGAGACACGGCCCAGACUCCUACGGGAGGCAGCAGUAGGGAAUCUUCCGCAAUGGACGAAAGUCUGACGGAGCAACGCCGCGUGAGUGAUGAAGGUUUUCGGAUCGUAAAACUCUGUUGUCAGGGAAGAACAAGUACCGGAGUAACUGCCGGUACCUUGACGGUACCUGACCAGAAAGCCACGGCUAACUACGUGCCAGCAGCCGCGGUAAUACGUAGGUGGCAAGCGUUGUCCGGAAUUAUUGGGCGUAAAGCGCGCGCAGGCGGUUCCUUAAGUCUGAUGUGAAAGCCCCCGGCUCAACCGGGGAGGGUCAUUGGAAACUGGGGAACUUGAGUGCAGAAGAGAAGAGUGGAAUUCCACGUGUAGCGGUGAAAUGCGUAGAGAUGUGGAGGAACACCAGUGGCGAAGGCGACUCUUUGGUCUGUAACUGACGCUGAGGCGCGAAAGCGUGGGGAGCAAACAGGAUUAGAUACCCUGGUAGUCCACGCCGUAAACGAUGAGUGCUAAGUGUUAAAAGGGUUUCCGCCCUUUAGUGCUGCAGCAAACGCAUUAAGCACUCCGCCUGGGGGAGUACGGCCGCAAGGCUGAAACUCAAAGGAAUUGACGGGGGCCCGCACAAGCGGUGGAGCAUGGUGGUUUAAUUCGAAGCAACGCGAAGAACCUUACCAGGUCUUGACAUCUCCUGACAACCCUAGAAGAUAGGGCGUUCCCCUUCGGGGGACAGGAUGACAGGUGGUGCAUGGUUGUCGUCAGCUCGUGUCGUGAGAUGUUGGGGUU
rnacentral:rRNA from 1 species